rnacentral:tRNA from 2 species
GUUUUAGUAGUUUAUAAAAACAUUGGUCUUGUAAACCAAAAUAGGGUAAUAAUACCCCUUAAACC